rfam:Aneurinibacillus sp. XH2, complete genome.
GGGGGCGUUCUGGAUUCGACGGGGAUGGUUCGAGCAUGAGUAGCGAGCCGGUGGGUUGCGAAACCGUCAACAACGCAAGCGUAAAUAUAAACGCUAAAAAAGAAUCUUACGCUUUAGCUGCCUAAUUGCGGCUAACCCUUAUCGCUCCAUCGCCCGUGUGGGGUGACUAAGGGCCAACCUUAGCGGGCUACGCCCAAGGCUUCCGUCUGCAGCCGAGGGAAGAGAACAAUCAGACUAGCCUAUCGGGUAGUGGGUCAUCUGGCAGCCUGGUAGGUGAAAUGCUCACAGGUGACUGCGCUCGGAGAAGCUCAUGUGGUCGGAGUCUUCGGACGUGGGUUCGAUUCCCACCGCCUCCACCA